GUGAAGUUUCGACAGAAUAACUUGACAAUGUUUUUCAGUUUUCUGUUCAAACCGCAAUUAGUUACGAUGACGCAGAUAUAUCUGGUAGAGGAUUUAGUGAUUUAGUUUUAGUGUGGUGCCAAAUUCGAAUUUCCAGGAAUGUCAGUUGGUCUGUAUAUAUCAACGCAAAUAUUGAGCUGGAAUAUAAAUAUGUGAAGCAAUUCUGGCCUUUGGUAGAGAAUAAAAUCUCCACGAGGCACUGUCAAAUACAAAAUUCCAGAGAAUAGCCAGAUAACCUCCUGUCAGUAAAAGCAUGCAUUAUUGACAUGCAAACACACCUACUCGUAUCUGAGCCUUUUUGAAUUUGAAAUGACGUCCACAAAUAUGGCAACCGACUCGAAAUAAAUGUGGAUAUUGCCGAAAGGAAGAGGAUUAAAACAAUCAAUCAUUCAUUAUUUAGGAUAUGUUCAGCUCGCCAGUGAGAAUCAUACACUUCACACUCAUGCUUCCACCUCUAAGGAUUCGUGCUUGUUUCCACGGCCUUGAUUUCAUCUUCACAUGCACAAAAAUACAUCCGAUAUUCAAUGUAAAUUUCAUUAGAUACAUUAAUUUGACUAUUCUUCGGUUCCUUAUCAAGUAUCUUUAUGUUGAUUAAUACAAAAUAGUAUGGAGUUUUUACUGCUAAUAAGUAAAAAAAUUAACUUAUAUCCUUUACAAUUGUCACUAUUGUUUAACUAGUUACAUACGUUACAUUCUUGUUAAUUAUUAUUACAUACUCGUGGUUGUUUUGAGUGGCUUUGCUACAUGAGGGAGACCUUCUGUCCAUGAAUUUUUAAUGACAUGGAUUUGGUGUAAUGUUGCUUAGUCGAAACGGUCGAUAUAAUCUAUUCAUAGAGAAGUAAUGGUUGUGGUGUAUUUUCGAAAUUACAAAUUAUAUCGUUGUAUUUCUGCCUGGAGAAACUUUUUCUCGUAUGGAACAUUUAAGAAUUUUCGACCGCCCUUGCUUCCAUUCGAUAUAUCUAAACUUUGUAUUGAAUCCAUAGAAACGGAUUGCUUACCAAUCAUUCAAUAUUUAGUGAUAUACCACAUGCUUUUAUGUAGUAUGCCACUUUCAAGCGCUUAGGUCGUUCAUAACUUCUUGGAAAUGCUUCCUUUGCUUUCCAAUUUCUAAUGUUUUAUGUACAAAAACGAUGAAAUAUUAGCUAAUUAAAUUGAAAUUAUUAUAAUGAUAGUUUAUUUUGUAUGACUCAACAAAAUCAAUUUUAAUCAAAGAAUGAACAAA